rnacentral:rRNA from 1 species
AUACGGAGGAUGCGAGCGUUAUCCGGAUUUAUUGGGUUUAAAGGGAGCGUAGGUGGGAUAUUAAGUCAGCUGUGAAAGUUUGGGGCUCAACCUUAAAAUUGCAGUUGAUACUGGUUUCCUUGAGUACGGUACAGGUGGGCGGAAUUCGUGGUGUAGCGGUGAAAUGCUUAGAUAUCACGAAGAACUCCGAUCGCGAAGGCAGCUCACCGGGCCGGAGCUGACACUGAUGCUCGAAAGUGCGGGUAUCAAACAGGAUUAGAUACCCUGGUAGUCCGCACAGUAAACGAUGAAUACUCGCUGUUUGCGAUACACUGUAAGCGGCCAAGCGAAAGCGUUAAGUAUUCCACCUGGGGAGUACGCCGGCAACGGUGAAACUCAAAUGAAUUGGCGGGG